rnacentral:rRNA from 1 species
GUUAUAUGGUCAAGCGAAUAAGCGCACAUGGUGGAUGCCUUGGCGGUCAGAGGCGAUGAAGGACGUGGUAGCCUGCGAAAAGUGUCGGGGAGCUGGCAACAAGCUUUGAUCCGGCAAUAUCCGAAUGGGGGAACCCACUGUUUAGGCAGUAUCUUUGAGUAAAUUCAUAGCUCAAGGAGGCGAACCUGGUGAACUGAAAUAUCUAAGUAACCAGAGGAAAAGAAAUCAACAGAGAUUCCCUGAGUAGUGACGAGCGAACGGGGAUUAGCCCUUAAGCUAGUAUGGUUUUAGGAAAGCAAUCUGGGAAGGUUGGCCAUAGAAGGUGAUAGCCCUGUAUCCGAAAGGGCCGUACUAGUGAAGAUGAGUAGGACGGGGCACGUGAAACCUUGUCUGAAUAUGGGGGGUCCAUCCUCCAAGGCUAAAUACUCCUGACCGACCGAUAGUGAACUAGUACCGUGAGGGAAAGGCGAAAAGAACCCCGGAGAGGGGAGUGAAAUAGAACCUGAAACCAUGUGCGUACAAGCAGUAGGAGCCCUUAUGGGUGACUGCGUACCUUUUGUAUAAUGGGUCAGCGACUUACUGUUCGUGGCGAGCUUAACCGUAUAGGGGAGGCGAAGGGAAACCGAGUCUGAUAAGGGCGCAUAGUCGCGGGCAGUAGACCCGAAACCGGGUGAUCUAGUCAUGUCCAGGGUGAAGGUGCUGUAACAGGUACUGGAGGCCCGAACCCACUCCCGUUGCAAAGGUAGGGGAUGAGGCGUGAUUAGGAGUGAAAAGCUAAUCGAACCCGGAGAUAGCUGGUUCUCCUCGAAAGCUAUUUAGGUAGCGCC